rnacentral:misc_RNA from 1 species
ACAAACUUGGUCAUUUAGAGGAAGUAAAAGUCGUAACAAGGUCUCCGUUGGUGAACCAGCGGAGGGAUCAUUACUGAGUGUAAAAACUCCCAGACCCAAUGUGAACAUACCACUGUUGCUUCGGCGGACCCGCCCCGGGCGCACCCCUCUACAGGGCGUGUGCCCCGGACUCAGGCGCCCGCCGGGGGACCUAAACUCUCUGUAUUCUAACGAGUAUCUCUGAGUCUGAUUUAUACAAAUCAAAUCAAAACUUUCAACAACGGAUCUCUUGGCUCUAGCAUCGAUGAAGAACGCAGC